GGCGAACGCUGGCGGCGUGCCUAAAACAUGCAAGUCGAGCGGGGGUUGGCCGCGGGGCAACCCGCGGUUUCAGCUCUAGCGGCGAACGGGUGAGUAACACGUGGGUAACCUGCCCCGAAGACGGGGAUAACCUCGGGAAACCGGGGCUAAUACCCGAUACCCUCCUCCGGGGGCAUCCCUAGGGGAGGAAAGGGUUGGGCGCAAGCCCUUCCGCUUCGGGAUGGGCCCGCGGCCUAUCAGCUUGUUGGUGGGGUAAUGGCCUACCAAGGCGAUGAUCGGUAGCCGGUCUGAGAGGACGAUCGGCCACACUGGGACUGAGACACGGCCCAGACUCCUACGGGAGCAGCAUG
rnacentral:rRNA from 1 species